GGGUUGUGAGGUUAAGCGACUAAGCGUACACGGUGGAUGCCCUGGCAGUCAGAGGCGAUGAAGGACGUGCUAAUCUGCGAAAAGCGCCGGCGAGGUGAUAUGAACCUUUGACCCGGCGAUGUCCGAAUGGGGAAACCCAGUGUGAUUCGUCACACUAUCGUUAACUGAAUACAUAGGUUAACGAGGCGAACCGGGGGAACUGAAACAUCUAAGUACCCCGAGGAAAAGAAAUCAACCGAGAUUCCCCCAGUAGCGGCGAGCGAACGGGGAGCAGCCCAGAGUCUGAAUCAGCUUGUGUGUUAGUGGAAGCGUCUGGAAAGUCGCACGGUACAGGGUGACAGUCCCGUACACGAAAGCACACAGGCUGUGAACUCGAAGAGUAGGGCGGGACACGUGGUAUCCUGUCUGAAUAUGGGGGGACCAUCCUCCAAGGCUAAAUACUCCUGACUGACCGAUAGUGAACCAGUACCGUGAGGGAAAGGCGAAAAGAACCCCGGCGAGGGGAGUGAAAAAGAACCUGAAACCGUGUACGUACAAGCAGUGGGAGCACCUUCGUGGUGUGACUGCGUACCUUUUGUAUAAUGGGUCAGCGACUUAUAUUCUGUAGCAAGGUUAACCGUAUAGGGGAGCCGAAGGGAAACCGAGUCUUAACUGGGCGUUAAGUUGCAGGGUAUAGACCCGAAACCCGGUGAUCUAGCCAUGGGCAGGUUGAAGGUUGGGUAACACUAACUGGAGGACCGAACCGACUAAUGUUGAAAAAUUAGCGGAUGACUUGUGGCUGGGGGUGAAAGGCCAAUCAAACCGGGAGAUAGCUGGUUCUCCCCGAAAGCUAUUUAGGUAGCGCCUCGUGAACUCAUCUUCGGGGGUAGAGCACUGUUUCGGCUAGGGGGCCAUCCCGGCUUACCAACCCGAUGCAAACUACGAAUACCGAAGAAUGUUAUCACGGGAGACACACGGCGGGUGCUAACGUCCGUCGUGAAGAGGGAAACAACCCAGACCGCCAGCUAAGGUCCCAAAGUCAUGGUUAAGUGGGAAACGAUGUGGGAAGGCACAGACAGCCAGGAUGUUGGCUUAGAAGCAGCCAUCAUUUAAAGAAAGCGUAAUAGCUCACUGGUCGAGUCGGCCUGCGCGGAAGAUGUAACGGGGCUAAACCAUGCACCGAAGCUGCGGCAGCGACGCUUAUGCGUUGUUGGGUAGGGGAGCGUUCUGUAAGCCGUUGAAGGUGUGCUGUGAGGCAUGCUGGAGGUAUCAGAAGUGCGAAUGCUGACAUAAGUAACGAUAAAGCGGGUGAAAAGCCCGCUCGCCGGAAGACCAAGGGUUCCUGUCCAACGUUAAUCGGGGCAGGGUGAGUCGACCCCUAAGGCGAGGCCGAAAGGCGUAGUCGAUGGGAAACAGGUUAAUAUUCCUGUACUUGGUGUUACUGCGAAGGGGGGACGGAGAAGGCUAUGUUAGCCGGGCGACGGUUGUCCCGGUUUAAGCAUGUAGGCGGAGGUUCCAGGUAAAUCCGGUACCUUAUUAACGCUGAGGUGUGAUGACGAGGCACUACGGUGCUGAAGUAACAAAUGCCCUGCUUCCAGGAAAAGCCUCUAAGCAUCAGGUAACAUCAAAUCGUACCCCAAACCGACACAGGUGGUCAGGUAGAGAAUACCAAGGCGCUUGAGAGAACUCGGGUGAAGGAACUAGGCAAAAUGGUGCCGUAACUUCGGGAGAAGGCACGCUGAUAUGUAGGUGAAGCCCCUGCGGGUGGAGCUGAAAUCAGUCGAAGAUACCAGCUGGCUGCAACUGUUUAUUAAAAACACAGCACUGUGCAAACACGAAAGUGGACGUAUACGGUGUGACGCCUGCCCGGUGCCGGAAGGUUAAUUGAUGGGGUUAGCGGUAACGCGAAGCUCUUGAUCGAAGCCCCGGUAAACGGCGGCCGUAACUAUAACGGUCCUAAGGUAGCGAAAUUCCUUGUCGGGUAAGUUCCGACCUGCACGAAUGGCGUAAUGAUGGCCAGGCUGUCUCCACCCGAGACUCAGUGAAAUUGAACUCGCUGUGAAGAUGCAGUGUACCCGCGGCAAGACGGAAAGACCCCGUGAACCUUUACUAUAGCUUGACACUGAACACUGGUCCUUGAUGUGUAGGAUAGGUGGGAGGCUUUGAAGCGUGGACGCCAGUCUGCGUGGAGCCGUCCUUGAAAUACCACCCUUUAAUGGCUGGUGUUCUAACGUAGACCCGUGAUCCGGGUUGCGGACAGUGUCUGGUGGGUAGUUUGACUGGGGCGGUCUCCUCCCAAAGAGUAACGGAGGAGCACGAAGGUUAGCUAAUCCUGGUCGGACAUCAGGAGGUUAGUGCAAUGGCAUAAGCUAGCUUGACUGCGAGAGUGACGGCUCGAGCAGGUGCGAAAGCAGGUCAUAGUGAUCCGGUGGUUCUGAAUGGAAGGGCCAUCGCUCAACGGAUAAAAGGUACUCCGGGGAUAACAGGCUGAUACCGCCCAAGAGUUCAUAUCGACGGCGGUGUUUGGCACCUCGAUGUCGGCUCAUCACAUCCUGGGGCUGAAGUAGGUCCCAAGGGUAUGGCUGUUCGCCAUUUAAAGUGGUACGCGAGCUGGGUUUAGAACGUCGUGAGACAGUUCGGUCCCUAUCUGCCGUGGGCGCUGGAGAAUUGAGGGGGGCUGCUCCUAGUACGAGAGGACCGGAGUGGACGCAUCACUGGUGUUCGGGUUGUCAUGCCAAUGGCACUGCCCGGUAGCUAAAUGCGGAAAAGAUAAGUGCUGAAAGCAUCUAAGCACGAAACUUGCCCCGAGAUGAGUUCUCCCUGAGACUUUAAGUCUCCUGAAGGAACGUUAAAGACUAUGACGUUGAUAGGUCGGGUGUGUAAGCGCAGCGAUGCGUUGAGCUAACCGAUACUAAUGAACCGUGAGGCUUAACCUUACAACGCCGAAGGUGUUU
rnacentral:rRNA from 1 species